AGUGGAACAACUGGAUAUACAAAUAUGAAAAAAAGUGUCUGGAACACUUCUUCACACUAUACAAAAAUCCAUUCUAGGAGGGAUUAAGUCCUUACUUUAAAUAUUUUAUGAUGAAAAUGUUUAAACUUACAAAAUAGUAGAGAAGAAUAAAAAUAAUUUUACAUAUAUGUUUUUCUCAACUAGGGAGACAACAGCACUGGGCAAGCAGGACGUAUGGAAGUUAUGUACUGAAAGACUGGUGACACUAGUCAAGUGAAUAACAGUAGGGCUGGCUGGGUAACAUGUGAGCUGGAGAGGAAGAGAUGAAAUGGUAACACUUUUGGCUUAGAAACUUGGAACAUAAAGAAUGAAGAAAAACCAGAAGGAAGAGUUACUAUCUGGCAGGAACACAUUUUCCCCCUUAGCCCUGAAGAGUACGCAGACCAUUGUUAGCAAGGAAGCUAGCUUGUUUUUUGCACCAAAGGAAAGCUAAGGGAACCUCCUAAAAUGCCAUGUACGGGUAGAGAAGAGAUCAUGGUUGAUAACAACAAACAAAAAGCUUCCAUGAAAAUCUAUAUAGGCAGACUUCAAAGAUAUUGGAGAUUUGGUUCCAGACCACACCACAAAGCAAAUGUUGCAAUAAAAUGAAUCUCCAUCAGACUGGACCACCCAGUGUUCUCACUUUUUCUACUUUACUUCACCAUUGUUCUUCCGGUCUUCUCAGAUCCCUUCCAUCCUCACAAGUCCAGCUUCCUUUUCCUGUCAAUCUCAUCACACACAUUAAGGACCUAAGGGAGCUACAUCAAUAUAUGCUAAUAUCACACUUUGGAAAAGAAAUUAGGAGGUAAAUAGCAUGCCUUCAACAUAUGAUCCUGAGGCACUCUCCACAUUAUUUGUCUUUUCAUAAGCAGGCUUCCAGCUGACUGGAUGGUAUCUACACACGUUGAGGGUGGCUCUUCCCCCACUUAGCCCAUCUAGACUCACACACCAAUGUCCUCUGAAAAGACCCUAACAGACAUACCCAGAAAUAAUGCUUUACCAGUUCUCUAGGUAUUCCUUAAUUUACUCAAGCUGACACGUAAAAUCAGCCAUCACAAAAUCACCCGUUGUCAACUUUGCACCCAUUUGUAUCUCCUUAAAUCAUAAUUUCCUGCAUACAACCAAAAAUGCACUAAUUCCUUUCUAGAAGAAAAGAUAAAGUCAUUGGGUGAUGUUUACUCUUCUCCUGAUAUCCCAUAACAUAUACUAUACUUUUUUUUUUUUUGAGACAGUCUUGCUCUGUUGCCCAGGAUGGAGUGCAGUGGCAUGGUCUCAGCUCACUGCAACCUCUGCCUCCCGGGUUCAAGCAAUUUUAGUACCUCAGCCUCCCGAGUAGCUGGGAUUACAGGCAUGCACCACCACCCCCGGCUAAUUUUUGUAUUUUUAGUAAAGACGGGGUUUCACCAUGUUGGCCAGGCUGGACUCGAACUCCUGGCCUCAGGUGAUCCACCCGCCUUGAUCUCCCAAAGUGCUAGGAUUACAGGUGUAAGCCACCAUUGCCCAGCCUAUGAUAUAAAUUUAACAAUACUUAAAUACUGAUAUAAAGUCAAUAAAUUUUAUGUUACAUGAUAAAGAAAUAAAAGAAAGAAUAUGUACUUAAUAUUGAAAGCCACCAUUUUAGCUAAUAGUAAUGAUUCAGAGAACGUUAAGAGGAUAUACUUUCCAAAUAAUUAACCAAUGUAGUUGCUCAAUAAAUAUUUGUUGAAUUAAAUGAAUAACCAAUGUCUCAAAUCCUAAGGCUAGUGAAAUAUUAUGUAGGAAUUCUGUUUAAACUAGUGAAAUAGAGAUUUACGUAUCCCUCAGUUGAUACUGCUUAUGGACUUGCUAGGAAUAAAGCCAGCUGUCUUUACAGUCUUUCUAUAAGAAGUGUAAGACCAUAGCUAGUUCUUCUGUUAUUUAUUGAAUCAUAUACAGUGUAGGUUUAUUAAUGUCUAGAUCAGCUAUAAUUUGAUCAUAUGUGUAGAAACUUUUAUUAAAGUCUAAAAACAAUAUUCUUGGAGUAAAUGUUAUCUGGACAGUACAUUUCCAAAAUAGAUUCUACCUAUUAAAUUUGUAGGUGUUGUGUUACAGAAAAGUAAGGAGUAUUCUUCUUAUACAGGUCACAAAAUAACAGUUACAGACCUGAAUUUGGGAAAUAAUUUAGGACUGUCAGAAAGCUCUACCAGCUGAGAGGUUUUAGCAAAAUAAUAAUUAAUUAUUUCAAUUUCCCAUCAAGCCUUCUACAAUUUACUCUGUACCUGCACCCUUGUGUGUUACCAUCACAUUCACAUUCUAGCACAAC
rnacentral:lncRNA from 1 species